rnacentral:rRNA from 1 species
AGUUACCAGCACGUUAUGUGGGCACUCUAAGGAGACUGCCGGUGGACAAACCGGAGGAAAGUGGGGAUGACGUCAAGUCAUCAUGGCCCUUACGGCCUGGGCUACACACGUGCUACAAUGGUCGGUACAAAGGGUUGCCAAGCCGCGAGGUGGAGCUAAUCCCAUAAAACCGAUCGUAGUCCGGAUCGCAGUCUGCAACUCGACUGCGUGAAGUCGGAAUCGCUAGUAAUCGUGAAUCAGAAUGUCACGGUGAAUACGUUCCCGGGCCUU